rnacentral:misc_RNA from 1 species
GUAUUGUGUGAUGGAUCCCUGCUCCGGGCAGCGACAUCAUUYGAUCCACGUCUCUUCAGUCGUAGGCGCGAGCCUUGGCUCGUCCGGUGUCGGUUUACCUGUGCUGAAUACCCGUAUUGAAGGCACGAUGUCGGUUGGAUUGUCCCUUUUCCCGCCYUGUGCUGCUGCUCCUUGCGGGCGAGCGGUGCGGGGUGGCCCGAAUAGCGCGCGCCGUGYGUCCCAUCCCGUUUUUCCCUCGCGAGAGGGCAUUCGGGCUGACGACCCACGGCGCAGAGCUCGUUCUCUCGGAUACGGAACAUUACGUGGGGACGGGGCCAAUGGCCUCGCCGCACCACAACAAAGCGUUCUACGCUUCGUGCGAACGACUGUCGGUCCGGCCUCUGGCCAAUGCUCCCGUGGC